rnacentral:rRNA from 1 species
GACGAACGCUGGCGGCGCGCCUAACACAUGCAAGUCGAACGGAGCUGAGAGAAGCUUGCUUUUCUUAGCUUAGUGGCGAACGGGUGAGUAACGCGUGAGUAACCUGCCCUGGAGUGGGGGACAACAGUUGGAAACGACUGCUAAUACCGCAUAAGCCCACGAUCCGGCAUCGGAUUGAGGGAAAAGGAUUUAUUCGCUUCAGGAUGGACUCGCGUCCAAUUAGCUAGUUGGUGAGGUAACGGCCCACCAAGGCGACGAUUGGUAGCCGGACUGAGAGGUUGAACGGCCACAUUGGGACUGAGACACGGCCCAGACUCCUACGGGAGGCAGCAGUGGGGGAUGUUGCACAAUGGGGGAAACCCUGAUGCAGCGACGCCGCGUGGAGGAAGAAGGUUUGCGGAUUGUAAACUCCUGUCGUUAGGGACGAUAAUGACGGUACCUAACAAGAAAGCACCGGCUAACUACGUG